rnacentral:rRNA from 1 species
CCAAAUGAUAGGAAUGCUUAGUGGCGGACUGGUGAGUAACGCGUGAGGAACCUACCUUCCAGAGGGGGACAACAGUUGGAAACGACUGCUAAUACCGCAUGACGCAUGACCGGGGCAUCCCGGGCAUGUCAAAGAUUUUAUCGCUGGAAGAUGGCCUCGCGUCUGAUUAGCUAGAUGGUGGGGUAACGGCCCACCAUGGCGACGAUCAGUAGCCGGACUGAGAGGUUGACCGGCCACAUUGGGACUGAGAUACGGCCCAGACUCCUACGGGAGGCAGCAGUGGGGAAUAUUGGGCAAUGGACGCAAGUCUGACCCAGCAACGCCGCGUGAAGGAAGAAGGCUUUCGGGUUGUAAACUUCUUUUG